rnacentral:misc_RNA from 1 species
GUACUCUCACACUUCCGAUCCUUUGGAUUGGGAGUGGUGGACUUGGGUGUUGCCGCUUUACUGUGGCUCACCUCUAAUGCAUUAGUGCAACUCUUGGUUGGACAUAGUACGGCGUGAUAAGUGUCUUCGCCGGCACCUCACAAGAGGGUGGCUGAUCAGGAGCUCUGUGCUUCAAACCGUUCUUGGACAAUAACUGACA